AGUGACCCUAAAAAACCACACAGCCUGUGUAGCACCUGAGACCUCCCAGUAACAGCAGUGACCCUACAAUAACACAGCCCACGUAGUGCCCAAGACCCCUCAUAACAGCAGUGACCCUACAAAAACACACAGCCCACGCAGUGCCCUAGGCCCCCGGUAGCAGCAGUGACCCUACAAUAACACAGCCCACGUAAUGCCCAAGACCCCCCAGUAGCAGCAGUGACCCUACAAUAACACACAGCCCACGCAGUGCCCUAGACACCCCAAUAAAGGCUGUGGAGCACC